rnacentral:rRNA from 1 species
ACUGAACGCUGGCGGCAUGCCUUACACAUGCAAGUCGAACGGUAACGCGGGGCAACCUGGCGACGAGUGGCGAACGGGUGAGUAAUGCAUCGGAACGUGCCCAUCAGUGGGGGAUAGCCCGGCGAAAGCCGGAUUCAUACCGCAUACGACCUGAGGGUGAAAGCGGGGGACCGUAAGGCCUCGCGCUGAUGGAGCGGCCGAUGUCGGAUUAGCUAGUUGGUGGGGUAAAGGCUUACCAAGGCAACGAUCCGUAGCUGGUCUGAGAGGACGACCAGACACACUGGGACUGAGACACGGCCCAGACUCCUACGGGAGGCAGCAGUGGGGAAUUAUGGACAAUGGGCGCAAGCCUGAUCCAGCCAUGCCGCGUGCGGGAAGAAGGCCUUCGGGUUGUAAACCGCUUUUGUCAGGGAAGAAACGGUCUGAACUAAUACUUUGGACUAAUGACGGUACCUGAAGAAUAAGCACCGGCUAACUACGUGCCAGCAGCCGCCGCAGUAA